rnacentral:rRNA from 1 species
GAGUACGAUCCAGGCUCAGAACGUACGCUGGCGGCACGCCUAACACAUGCAAGUCGAACGAAGUAGCAGUACUUAGUGGCAGACGGGUGAGUAACAUGUGGGUAUCUACCCUUUGGCCUGAAAUAACACGAGGAAACUAGUGCUAAUACUGGAUAAGUCCUUACGGAGAAAGCUUUAUGCACCAUUGGAUGAGCCUGCACUUGAUUAGUUUGUAGGUGGGGUAAUGGCCUGCCAAGACUUUGAUCAAUAGCUGAUUUGAGAGGAUGAUCAGCCACAUUGGGACUGAGACGCGGCCCAAACUCCUACGGGAGGCAGCAGUGGGGAAUCUUGCACAAAGGAGGAAACUCUGAUGCAGCGAUGCCGCGUGAGUGAAGAAGGCAUAAGGGUUGUACAGCUACUUUCGUCGGGGAAGAAAAUGACUGUACCCGAAUACGAAGGUCCGGCUAACUACGUGCCAGCAGCCGCGGUAAUACGAAG